GAUGAACGCUGGCGGCGUGCUUAAUACAUGCAAGUCGAGCGAACAGACGAGGAGUUUGCUCCUUUCUCGAUAGGGGCGCACGGGUGUGUCACACGUGGAUACUGCACUUAUCAUUCUGGGAUCAUUUCGGGAAUCGGGCUCAAAUCCCGUAUAAGCUCCUGCACCACAGGGUUCAUUGGAGAAAUUCGGCUUUUCUGUAUCUUCUCGCGGGGUAUUAGCUGGUUGGUAUGGUAACGGCCUACCAGGCCUACGAAGGGUAGCCGACGUGAGAGGGUGAUCGGCCACACUGGAACUGAGACGCGGACCAGACUCCUACGGGAGGCAGCAGUAGGGAAUCGUCCGCAAAGGGCGAAAGCCUGACGGAGCAAGGCCGCGUGAGUGAUGAAGGUCUUCGGAUCGUAAAACUCUGUUAUUAGGGAAGAACAAAUGUGGAAGUAACUAUGCACGUCUUGACGGUACCUAAUCAGAAAGCCACGGCUAACUACGUG
rnacentral:rRNA from 1 species